AACCGCAUGGUUCAAAAGUGAAAGACGGUCUUGCUGUCACUUAUAGAUGGAUCCGCGCUGCAUUAGCUAGUUGGUAAGGUAACGGCUUACCAAGGCAACGAUGCAUAGCCGACCUGAGAGGGUGAUCGGCCACACUGGAACUGAGACACGGUCCAGACUCCUACGGGAGGCAGCAGUAGGGAAUCUUCCGCAAUGGGCGAAAGCCUGACGGAGCAACGCCGCGUGAGUGAUGAAGGUCUUCGGAUCGUAAAACUCUGUUAUUAGGGAAGAACAUAUGUGUAAGUAACUGUGCACAUCU
rnacentral:rRNA from 1 species